AUGAACGCUAGCUACAGGCUUAACACAUGCAAGUCGCGGGGAAACGGCAUUGAGUGCUUGCACUCUUUGGACGUCGACCGGCGCACGGGUGAGUAACGCGUAUCCAACCUUCCCAUUACUGUGGGAUAACCUGCCGAAAGGCAGACUAAUACCGCAUAGUCUUCGAUGACGGCAUCAGAUUUGAAGUAAAGAUUUAUCGGUAAUGGAUGGGGAUGCGUCUGAUUAGCUUGUUGGCGGGGUAACGGCCCACCAAGGCUACGAUCAGUAGGGGUUCUGAGAGGAAGGUCCCCCACAUUGGAACUGAGACACGGGCCAAACUCCUACGGGAGGCAGCAGUGAGGAAUAUUGGUCAAUGGACGGAAGUCUGAACCAGCCAAGUAGCGUGCAGGAUGACGGCCCUAUGGGUUGUAAACUGCUUUUGGAUGGGGAUAAAGUUAGGGACGUGUCCCUAUUUGCAGGUACCAUACGAAUAAGGACCGGCUAAUUCCGUG
rnacentral:rRNA from 1 species